UGGAGUGGAAGAGGCUGCCCUGUUGGGGCUGUUCUGGAGACUCCAGCAGGCAGCAGACGGGCCUGAAGACGGCGCGUCACUCCGGGGCCGAGGGGGGGGGUGGGGGUUGCGGACGGACUGGCAGACCAAGGACACAGCCGGCCUCCCUCUCUCCUUCCGGCCCCUCGCCUCUCCAGCGCUCUCCUCCAUCCAUCUGACUCUCAAGGGCCUUGCAGACCGGCGGAGGAGCAGCCCGGCAGGGUCCAGAUCCCUUCGGAUUCAGACGGAAACACGUGGAGACAAACCGCAGACGCUCGGACUCUCCCCCUCCUCCGUUUUUCCCCAAGGAGAAGGGACUGUAGGCGACACGGGUGGUUGGAAAAGGUCGACAGGCUUGGUUUCUUGGUGCUACUUAUUCCCCGACAGGUAUAUUUCUCUUUCUCUCUGUCCCUGUCCUCCUCACUCUCCUCCUAACUCCCUCCUCCAAAGCCCAGACUUUCUCACUGUCCCCUGCUCCUUGAUUUGAUUAUUUCCAGCUCUGGGUUCUGAUAAUGAUGGUUAUUAUUAUAUUAUUGUUAUAUUAUUAUUAUUGGUAUUGUUAUUAUUACAGACACACAGUUCUCGUGGGUUUGUGUUCAAUCUUUUCAUUUCAAAGUUGCCUUUUUGGUUU
rnacentral:lncRNA from 1 species